UCAUUCUUUGGUUCCAAUAACCCCCAAGAUCAACUAUAAGUCUCACAUAAAGAUAGUCCCAACGACUAAGCUCUGAAGCAUCCUUUUCGCUAUUAACUAGAUCACCACCAUUUGCCCAGUCAAUACGAUAAGGCUCCAAAUCUGCUUUUAAUUUAGGUUGAUUUAGUACUUUGUCACUUGAUAAAAAUUCAACACACUCGUUCAUGCUAUCAUCACAAUGUAAAAUCAUGCGAAUGAUCUCAUUCGGAUUUUUGUGAGACAGCUUGUGAAAGUGAAUACCAAAAAGCUUCUGAAGUUCACUACUCAUGUAAUCAGUUCUAGCACAUGUUUUUUUGACCAAUGUUUUUGCUUCCUUCAUCGCAAAACUUUCAUCUAAUUCAUCUAAGACCCCUGAUGUAUGCAAGGUUUCCAAAAUUUUGUUGGCCUCGUCAGAAGGUCCCGUCCAAAAUGUAAAUUCCAGCCCAGAAUUCAACUUCUCCCAAUGCAUUUGCUUCAAACGACGAGUUGGUCGACGAG